CAGCAUAUGAUUAGCCAUUGAGGUCAGUGGCAGUGGCAUUAGUCUGCACGGCACGCGGUUCAAGUUCAUUGCCUCGUUUUCCUUAUAGGACAUUAGCCUCGAUUUCGUUAGAUUUCCAUGUGCUUUCCAUAUUUUCAGAUAGAACGCACUGUUUGCAAGGUCUACUGCUAUUGGCUGAAGCAAAUAUUUGUGGUCAUGGUGGUCGACGAAUCAGAAUAAGAUGUCUCCUCCCUUAUUUCCGUUGAAUCAUUUCUCCCUUACUUCCGUUUAAUCAUUUAGAAGGUAUUAUGCGCGAAGGUAUUAUGAAAAAUAUUAGGGACUUUAGUACAACGUUUGCAUUAUAGUACGUAAGAAGUGGACACCCAGCAAAUUGGUUCAGUACUAUUGUGGGCCUAAAUGUGGAAUUCUACUCAAUAGAAAGCCUCUGUUUUGAUCUCGUCAAGCUGUUUUAAAUUCAUAACGAUUGUUUCGAAUGAAUUUGUUUUGCCCAGUCGUCGUCGCUUUGCCGUCCUACAUCUUGGAAUAUUAGAGACCUUACGAUUUAGGACGGCAACGCGACGGCAAUUCAAUAUAUGAAUAAUUUAGACAUCGUCGCGUUGCCGUCCUAUAUAAGGCUGUAAUAAUUCCACAUGCAGCCAUAUGCGCGUGAGAUGAUGUUUCCUAGCUAUUAAAAUAAUGAGAAGUACUCUAUUUUAGGUAACCACAAUUGCUAUAAAGACGCUGAAGAUUAGAUUCAUUCGUGAUUCACAUUUUGUGGCAAACGGCUAAAAAGCAAGACAACUUACUUAAUCAAGCACUUUCUAACCGUUCAAGUUCUCAUUUAAUAAUUUAUAUUGUUAUACAUAGUACGUUGGUAAACUGUGUUAUUAAUUAAUUAAAAUAAAGCUGACAUUCCUAUGGGGUUAUGUCGUAUUGAUAUUUUAUCCGCACGUUUUACGCAUCUCUAUAUAGCAUCUCUAUUGUAUAGUCGCGGAUAUAUGUACGGUGGGGUUAUGUAGUAUUGAUAUUGUAUGCGCAAUUUAUUUAUGUACAUACCUAAGGC